rnacentral:rRNA from 1 species
AUUGAACGCUGGCGGCAGGCCUAACACAUGCAAGUCGAGCGGAUGAAGGGAGCUUGCUCCUGGAUUCAGCGGCGGACGGGUGAGUAAUGCCUAGGAAUCUGCCUGGUCGUGGUGGAUAACGUCCGGAAACGGGCGCUAAUACCGCAUACUUCUUGAGGGAGAAAGUGGGGGAUCUUCGGACCUCACGCUAUCAGCUGAGCCUAGGUCGGAUUAGCUAGUUGGUGGGGUAAAGGCCUACCAAGGCGACGAUCCGUAACUGGUCUGAGAGGAUGAUCAGUCACACUGGAACUGAGACACGGUCCAGACUCCUACGGGAGGCAGCAGUGGGGAAUAUUGGACAAUGGGAGAAAGCCUGAUCCAGCCAUGCAGCGUGUGUGAAGAAGGUAUUCGGAUUGUAAAGCACUUUAAGUUGGGAGGUAGGGCAGUAAGUUAAUAACUUGCUGUUUUGACGGUACCAACAGAAUAAGCACCGGCUAACUUCGUG